UCCCUGGAGGUCUGGCGGCUAAGACUCUGUGCUCCCAAUCCAGGGACCCGGGUUCAAUCCCUGGUCAGGGAA
rnacentral:tRNA from 1 species